GGAUUGUUGCUCAGCGGUAAGAGUACUCGCCUAGCACCUGUGAGGUGCUGGGUUCAAUCCUCAGCACCA
rnacentral:tRNA from 1 species